rnacentral:rRNA from 1 species
UUGGAAGUAAAAGUCGUAACAAGGUUUCCGUAGGUGAACCUGCGGAAGGAUCAUUACCGAGUGAGGGCCCUCUGGGUCCACCUCCCACCCGUGUUUAUUUUACCUUGUUGCUUCGGCGGGCCCGCCUUAACUGGCCGCCGGGGGGCUUACGCCCCCGGGCCCGCGCCCGCCGAAGACACCCUCGAACUCUGUCUGAAGAUUGUAGUCUGAGUGAAAAUAUAAAUUAUUUAAAACUUUCAACAACGGAUCUCUUGGUUCCGGCAUCGAUGAAGAACGCAGCGAAAUGCGAUACGUAAUGUGAAUUGCAAAUUCAGUGAAUCAUCGAGUCUUUGAACGCACAUUGCGCCCCCUGGUAUUCCGGGGGGCAUGCCUGUCCGAGCGUCAUUUCUGCCCUCAAGCACGGCUUGUGUGUUGGGCCCCGUCCUCCGAUCCCGGGGGACGGGCCCGAAAGGCAGCGGCGGCACCGCGUCCGGUCCUCGAGCGUAUGGGGCUUUGUCACCCGCUCUGUAGGCCCGGCCGGCGCUUGCCGAUCAACCCAAAUUUUUAUCCAGGUUGACCUCGGAUCAGGUAGGGAUACCCGCUGAACUUAAGCAUAUCAAUAAGCGGAGGAA